AUGAACGCUGGCGGCGUGCCUAAUACAUGCAAGUCGAGCGAACGGACGAGAAGCUUGCUUCUCUGAUGUUAGCGGCGGACGGGUGAGUAACACGUGGAUAACCUACCUAUAAGACUGGGAUAACUUCGGGAAACCAGAGCUAAUACCGGAUAAUAUUUUGAACCGCAUGGUUCAAAAGUGAAAGACGGUCUUGCUGUCACUUAUAGAUGGAUCCGCGCUGCAUUAGCUAGUUGGUAAGGUAACGGCUUACCAAGGCAACGAUGCAUAGCCGACCUGAGAGGGUGAUCGGCCACACUGGAACUGAGACACGGUCCAGACUCCUACGGGAGGCAGCAGUAGGGAAUCUUCCGCAAUGGGCGAAAGCCUGACGGAGCAACGCCGCGUGAGUGAUGAAGGUCUUCGGAUCGUAAAACUCUGUUAUUAGGGAAGAACAUAUGUGUAAGUAACUGUGCACAUCUUGACGGUACCUAAUCAGAAAGCCACGGCUAACUACGUG
rnacentral:rRNA from 1 species